UACGUAGGGGGCAAGCGUUGUCCGGAAUUAUUGGGCGUAAAGCGCGCGUAGGCGGCCACUUAAGUCGGAUGUGAAAGCCCCUGGCUCAACUGGGGAAGUGCACCCGAAACUGAAUGGCUUGAGUGCGAAAGAGGGUCGCGGAAUUCCCGGUGUAGAGGUGAAAUUCGUAGAUAUCGGGAGGAACACCGGUGGCGAAGGCGGCGACCUGGGUCGACAGUGCGCUGAGGCGCGAAAGCCAGGGAGCAAACGGG
rnacentral:rRNA from 1 species